GAUAAGGUAAAAACGUUCGCACAAAUUUAAACGAUUUUUGUAAGUGAGGCUGUGCAGUUGCAAGUUCAAAAUAACAGCCAGGUACACAUCAUUUUCAUAGUUCUUAGCUUUGUAGCCAGUACGAAAGGAACAGCCUGAGUACAGGCCUGUGACAAAGUAAAAAUAAAAAUAAACAUUAAAAAGUAUAUCUUCGUGUAAAGUGAAUACAAAUUAAGCCAUUAGCAUUGAUCCAGUCAUUUGUUAUAUCGUCGUAGUAAUCUCUUUUUCGGUGUCAAUCUUUUAAGUAAAUAACGACCAAAAUGUAGACCCUUGCUUUACUAUCUGUGCAUGUCAUUGGAUGAUUUUUGUCGCUGUUACUUUUGAAAAGUGUAACAGCAGUAACUAGUUACUUUUAAAUACUAAACAGGUUGAGUAAAUAGCGCUCGUCCCUAAUUCAAGCCAUAACAAAUUGACAAUGACAAACAUUUGUAAAGUGUAAUACCGGAAACUAAAUUAAAUAAAUGCUAUUCCAUUGGUUAAUUGGCAUGGUAUAAAAUAAAACAUAUGAACAUACAGUAGCCUGCUAACACAACACAGGGGAUUCCUGCAAGUCGAGGUAGUAGAUUGGUGCUAGAGCUUAUUGGCUCUCAGGCAUGGAGACCCCUACCAAUGUGUUUUAUAGGGACAUUUUACAUGGGCCUGUCAUAGGAAGGCGGUAAUUGACAUGUCUAGCUUUAGAGAUGUUGAUGCUGAUUUCAAUGGCCAUCAUAAUAACCCUUCACAAGGUUAACGUUUAAUUAAUUUACUAGGACAAGGUCGCCUUGGUGCAUCUGUAAUUUUUUAAUGAAUUCUAUUAUAACUUAUGCAGGCAUACAUAUGUGUCAUCUGCAGCUACGCAUGCACCUUA